GAUUGUAUCACUUCGAAGUAAUGGUACUCAUAUGAUCAGCGAAGUUAAACAACAUUGAGCCUGCUUAGUAUCUAGAUGGAUGACCCCUUGGGAAUGCCAGGUAUUGUAAG